UGGCACGCUUUGCCAAGGUACACAGCUAGUUGGCAGCAGGCCCAUAGAUGACCCCGGGCAUGUCUCACCCAGGCUCUCUCGGUGAUUGUUCUGGACAUCCAGCAGGUGGUGUGAUGGACGGGGCCUCAGACGGGCAGGCAGGGGAUCGUAAGCUCCUAGGUCUGUGUUACUCUGUGUCUCUUUCAAAAUGAGAGGCCUGGCGGUUUAAGGUUCCUUCCCGCUCUGGCAUUCUGCACAGUGCACUAGAGGCGACGGGGAGCUCACUACCUUACAUGCCACCUGAUGUUUGUUAAAAGCGUCUCCUUGGUUCUUGGUUUUUUUAAAGUGUCUCUUUUGUGCUGAGCCCAAAACUCUCUCUUUAGCUGCUGGAGUCAAAACACACACACACACACGCACACACGCAUACACGCAGGGUUUGCAGGUGGGGAAACUUAGCUCCAGAGAGGAAAAGGGAUUUGCUAAGGUCAACAGUGAAUGGCAGAGCCUGAACUAGGCCUCUGGACUUUUGCCUUCAGGAGCCUUCAUAACAAAAUAAAAUAAUU